UUCAGCUCACUACAGGGCAACUGGAGCCAAAAGCAGGCAGACAGUCAUGUGCUCAUCUGCAGCUUCUUGCGGGAGGGGCUGUCUCGUUCAUCUGCUCUGUAGCCCCUAGCAUGGGACCAAGCACAUCACAAUGAUUACCAUUUGUUGAGUAACUUUACAAGCAUCAUCUCACUUAAUCUCCAUGGCAGACCUGCAAGGUAGAUAAUCUUAUCUCCAUUUCAGUGAUGCAGACUCCCAAGACUCAGAGAGAGCACCUUUCACCUGCUGGGCUGCUGCUGCCUCUGCUGGGUUCCCUGGAGUCAGAAUAGAAGCCCCAGAACUGCAUGACCUGCACAACCUCUUAUCUGCACUGGUUUCUCCUCACUCUCAGACAAGAUGAAAUGUCAUACCACAGAGCAUGAAAUCUUGCUUCUGUAGCUGGUGUCAAUGGACCAGACUACAUCAAGGUUGGGAUCGCUCCCUAUGGCCAUGGCAGAGAAGCUCUGUGGCUCAAGGAAUCUACUGAAGUCACCUGCUGUUUCUCAUCGUGGCUUGUUGAAAGUAGUGCCAUCAUGGUAACACAUCACACUGAA